ensembl:miRNA
AAUCUAAAGGAUCUGUGCUAGGUUUAACAUGUUGAGCAUUACUCAUGUUAAACCUAGUACAGGUCCUUUAGAUU